rnacentral:rRNA from 1 species
AGUGAACGCUGGCGGUAGGCCUAACACAUGCAAGUCGAACGGCAGCACAGUAAGAGCUUGCUCUUACGGGUGGCGAGUGGCGGACGGGUGAGGAAUACAUCGGAAUCUACUUUUUCGUGGGGGAUAACGUAGGGAAACUUACGCUAAUACCGCAUACGACCUACGGGUGAAGGCAGGGGAUCUUCGGACCUUGCGCGAUUGAAUGAGCCGAUGUCGGAUUAGCUAGUUGGCGGGGUAAGGGCCCACCAAGGCGACGAUCCGUAGCUGGUCUGAGAGGAUGAUCAGCCACACUGGAACUGAGACACGGUCCAGACUCCUACGGGAGGCAGCAGUGGGGAAUAUUGGACAAUGGGCGCAAGCCUGAUCCAGCCAUACCGCGUGGGUGAAGAAGGCCUUCGGGUUGUAAAGCCCUUUUGUUGGGAAAGAAAAGCAGCAGGUUAAUACCCCGCUGUUCUGACGGUACCCAAAGAAUAAGCACCGGCUAACUUCGUG